rfam:Asian citrus Psyllid, Diaphorina citri - Florida Strain, whole genome shotgun sequence.
GCCUCGUUAGCUUAGUUGGUAGAACGUCUGCCUUGUCAGCGCUAGGCCGCGGGUUCGAUUCCCGUCCGGGGCG